rnacentral:rRNA from 1 species
UAUGGUCUUAAAAAUUAAGAAAUUUGGCGGUAUUUUAUUAGUUUAGAGGAACCUGUUCUGUAAUUGAUAAUCCACGAUUAGAAUUACUUGUUUUAGAAAUUUGUAUAUCGUUGUUUAAGAAUUUCUUUUUUAGGAAAAUUUUCUUUUACUUUAAUAUUAGUUUAUUUCAGAUCAAGGCACAGUUUAUAAAUAAGGAGAAAUGGGUUACAAUAAAUUUUUAUUUGGUUAUUAAAUUUUAAAUUUUAAUAUAAAUUGGAUUUAAUAGUAAUUAUAAUUACAUAUUUAUAAUGAUUUUUUUUCUAAAAUAUGCACAUAUUGCCCGUCACUCUCAUUUUUGAGAAAAGUCGUAACAAAGUACAUGUACCGGAAGGUGUAUCUAGAAUUAUCAAAUUAAAGCUUAUUAUAAGCUUUUUAUUUACAUUAAAAAGAUUUUUGUGAAAUUCAAUAUAGUUUGAUGAUUAAUAAAUUAUUAUUAUUAAUUAAUUAAGGAAGUAUCCUUUUUUUAUUAAUUUUUAAGAAAAAUUUUUUUUAAUUAUAGUUUAUUAGUAAAGUGAUUGAAUUUUAUUAAUUUUUUAAAAGAAAAAUUUAUUUUUUGUACCUUGUGCAUUAGGGUUGAUUAAUUAAAUUUUAAAUUUUUAAUUUUCUCGAAUUUAAAAGAGUUAAUUUAUUAUAAAUUUAAAUGUGUAAUAAUUUUUUAUAAUAAUAUUUUUGAAGUGAAACGCUAUUCGAUUUUAAUUUAUCUGGUUUUUUAAGAAAAAAGUUUAAUUUUGUUAUUAUUUUUUAUAUUUUAUUUUAUAAUUUAUAAGUUUUAAUAGGAAAAAUUUAAUGGGAUAAUCUUUUAAUUUUAAUUUUAUAAAUUUUAUAAUUUAAAUAUUUUGUAUAAUUUAAAUUGUUAAUCAUUGAAAAAUUAAUAUUUUAUUAUUUGUUUAAGAAAAUUUUGUAGUUUUUAAGUUUUAUAUUAAAAUUUUAAAUAUAAUUUUUUAUUUUAAUUAAUAAUGAUUAAAUUAGUAAUGUUGAAUUUAAAAAGUAAAAUAUAAGAAAGGUUAAAAAAAGGAAUUCGGCAAAUUUUAAUUUUUCGCCUGUUUAUUAAAAACAUGUCUUUUUGAAAAUAAUUUAAGGUCUAAUCUGCUCAAUGAUAAUUUAAAUAGCCGCAGUAUUUUGACUGUGCAAAGGUAGCAUGAUAAUUAGUUUAUUAAUUGUAAACUUGUAUGAAUGAUUGAACGAGAAAAUUUCUGUCUCUUUUUAAUUUAUAAUGAAUUUCACUUUUAAGUUAAAAGGCUUAAAUAAUAGUUAAAGACGAGAAGACCCCAUAGAGUUUUAUUUUUUAAUUAAUUUUAGAAAUAAUUUUUUAUUUUUGAAAAAAUUAGUUGGGGUGACUUAAAGAUUUAAAUAACUCUUUAAAUUGUAAUCAUAUAUAAAUGAAUUUAAAAUCUGAAUUUUCAAUUUUAAAUUAAGUUACCUUGGGGAUAACAGCGUA